rnacentral:rRNA from 1 species
AUGGUUGCUACUUCAUCCAGUCGUGAUGGUUUGCGUCGUCCUGGCCGGCCUCGUGGCUCGCGUGGUCUUACGGUUGUUCGUCAUGGUGGUUCGGGUCGGCGUGGUGCUUCUAUUGAUUCGUCGGAUAGGCUUGCGUUUGCUCAUCGCCGUCCGUCUUGUCGGCUUGGUCGUCGUGCGCGUGGGUCGCCUUCUUCAUCUGCUUGCCCGUGUCGUCUUCUGUUUCAGUGGAUAUUGAUAUGCUAUCUGGUAGUCGUGCCUCCGUUGCCUCUCGCAGGGAGGAGAUUCGUUUGGGCAAGCGCCAUGUUGAUUGUUCUCUUGGUUUGUGUUUUUGGCACGAUGAACUUUCAUUUUUUUCCUGUUGUUUACCGUUGUUUAAUUAUGUGGUUCACUUUGCAUACACAGAUGUAUCUUUCUGUGGGUCAGAGAUGUGUGGGCCUGAUGUUGUUGCUGUUGCUGCCUCUUUGCUUUCUAUAG